rnacentral:rRNA from 1 species
UACGUAGGGUGCGAGCGUUUGUCCGGAAUUAUUGGGCGUAAAGGGCUCGUAGGCGGUCCAUCGCGUCGGGAGUGAAAAGCUGGGGCUUAACCCCAGUCCUGCUUUCGAUACGGGUGGACUAGAGGUAGGCAGGGGAGAAUGGAAGUUCCUGGUGUAGCGGUGAAAUGCGCAGAUAUCAGGAGGAACACCGGUGGCGAAGGCGGUUCUCUGGGCCUUACCUGACGCUGAGGAGCGAAAGCAUGGGGAGCAAACAGG